ACUGAGUUAGAUAUUAAGGCUCCUUAAAGCUCCAGAGAAAUGCAAUCCAGCCUCACAACAUUUCUUCGUACCAGCAGAUCCCCCCCCCUGAGUGUGGCAAAUGCAGUCACACGGGCAUAUGGCGCUUCAGAGAAUCCAAGAGAAUGGAUUUCCAAGCAAGAUACAUUUCAGGUUCGGCACACCGGCAAGUUGAACAAACUCACAGAGACGCAUACUGAUUUUAGGAGGAAAAGCUGGACAAGCAUCUUAACUGCCUUUAUUUGAGACAAUGCAGUGGUCAUGCCUCUCUUAAUCAUGGAAGUUCCGCAGGAACCAUCAGCUCUCACAAGAGCAUUUCAGUAUUACACAGUCAGAACCUGGUUCAACAGCUUCUCAAGUCAAAAACUGAGAGGUAAAGGCAAAACUGCAAUGUCUGUAAGAAUGUGUUCUGUGGGAGAAGCUGGUCACCCC